rnacentral:rRNA from 1 species
GUGAGGAAUAUUGGACAAUGGGCGCAAGCCUGAUCCAGCCAUGCCGCGUGCAGGAAGACGCAUCUAUGGUGUGUAAACUGCUUUUGUACGGGAAGAAACACUCCCUCGUGAGGGAACUUGACGGUACCGUAAGAAUAAGGAUCGGCUAACUCCGUGCCAGCAGCCGCGGUAAUACGGAGGAUCCAAGCGUUAUCCGGAAUCAUUGGGUUUAAAGGGUCCGUAGGCAGUUUAAUAAGUCAGUGGUGAAAGCCCAUCGCUCAACGAUGGAACGGCCAUUGAUACUGUUAGACUUGAAUUACAAGGAAGUAACUAGAAUAUGUAGUGUAGCGGUGAAAUGCUUAGAUAUUACAUGGAAUACCAAUUGCGAAGGCAGGUUACUACUUGUGGAUUGACGCUGAUGGACGAAAGCGUGGGGAGCGAACAGGAUUAGAAACCCUGGUAGUCC